AUGUUUAAAACUGGCGGAUUCUCGGACUUCGUAGAAUUUCAGGGAUUUUCAGAAUAUUAUUUAAUCUUUGAAAAAUCUUAUAAAAUAAUCCGUAACUCGGAUGAAAAAGUUUUCUACAUGAAAGUUGCUCAGAACGACGAGACGAAUCGGAAUACACUCUCCGUUCAUCCAUCACGUGCCCCUAGCAUAGCGAACAUGCAACCGUCCCCCUCCUUUUCACCUGUCCGGAAAUGCCAAACUUUGGGAAAACAUUUUCGGAUGUUAUCCCCCUUCGCCGGUAUCGUGCAACACUGUGUUAGAUCACCCCUAGCUUUGGUUGUUGACUUGUCAUGCAUCUGUUUGCUCUGUAUUUACUGUUUCUUCCCCCUCUUCUCUCCGGUAGACCCCGAGACCGCUAUUGAUGCCCCUGUGAUCGACUACAUCAUCGACGACCCUUCUUCCCUUUCAGCAGAGCUUCCUGGCAAGCCCCCCCUUUGA
rnacentral:rRNA from 1 species